GCAGGGGUGGCUUCCAUGUGUUUGUCUUAUCUGCUGCCAUGCUUGCUUUGAGCUACAAAAUUGGACAUUAUUUCUGUAAAAUGUAGGCUACCUCUUAAGAGCGACGAUAAUGUAACUUGCACUUAAAGUAUCUUUUAUGAUUAGACGCUCUGAACUGAUAAAAUUGGCGUCCGACAGAUUGUCCUACUUCAGUCAGCUGGAAAGAAAAUGACAGUAAGCGAAGGGCAAAUGUAGAGCUGCGUUUUAUUUUUCUUUAUGUACAGAAAUUUGGAUAGCCGCUCUAAAAGUGAUUUCAAACAGAAAUUUGCGCCGCGCCCUUCUCGGCUUUCUUUUAGUUACUUUUUUCAAGUAAGGUGAUUUACAGUGCACCAUUUUGAAAGGACAUAUUUUCACAUA